ensembl:snoRNA LOC120099039 small nucleolar RNA U3
UGAUUUAUACUUUCAGGGAUCAUUUCUAUAGUUUGUGGUCAGAUUUUUUACUCAAUUCCUAUCUCUCUACAUGAACAUACACUACAGUGUGGAUGAGACAGUUGCAGGAAAGGUAGACACUGU